UUUCCGUAGGUGAACCUGCGGAGGGAUCAUUAACACGUAUCCACGUAUUAAACCACAGUUGAACUGUCUGUUGUGUUGAGGUUGGAGCGAAAGGCUAUGUGGUGAGGAGUGGAAACACUCCCGUCUUCGUUUCCACCUGGAGAAGAGGAAAAAGAUUUCCAAUUUUUUUCUUCUCUCUCUGGAAGUCUCAGCGCGGCGUAUCACCACGGUUUUUAUUAACCACUAUGAAUUUAUGUACUAAUAUUGACUGAAAAGAUGAAAGGGAGUCUUUGACUUUCCAUCCUCUUUUUCUGUUUUUUUACGAAAACACUGAACAACUCUUAGCAACGGAUAUCUUGGUUCCC
rnacentral:misc_RNA from 1 species